rnacentral:rRNA from 1 species
ACAGCAGUAGCCACGGGAAUACGGAGGGUGCAAGCGUUAAUCGGAAUUACUGGGCGUAAAGCGCACGCAGGCGGUCUGACAAGUCAGAUGUGAAAUCCCCGGGCUUAACCUGGGAACUGCAUUUGAAACUGUCAGGCUGGAGUCUUGUAGAGGGGGGUAGAAUUCCAGGUGUAGCGGUGAAAUGCGUAGAGAUCUGGAGGAAUACCGGUGGCGAAGGCGGCCCCCUGGACAAAGACUGACGCUCAGGUGCGAAAGCGUGGGGAGCAAACAGGAUUAGAUACCCCUGUAGUCCCUGUCUCUUAUAC